UACGUAGGGUGCAAGCGUUGUCCGGAAUUAUUGGGCGUAAAGAGCUCGUAGGCGGUCUGUCGCGUCGGCUGUGAAAUCCCGGAGCUCAACUCCGGGUCUGCAGUCGAUACGGGCAGACUGGAGUUCGGCAGGGGAGACUGGAAUUCCUGGUGUAGCGGUGAAAUGCGCAGAUAUCAGGAGGAACACCGGUGGCGAAGGCGGGUCUCUAGUACGGUACUGACGCUGAGGCGCGAAAGCGUGGGGAGCGAACAGG
rnacentral:rRNA from 1 species